rnacentral:rRNA from 1 species
GAGUUUGAUCCUGGCUCAGAACGAACGCUGGCGGCAGGCCUCAAACAUGCAAGUCUAGGGGGUGUAGCAAUACAUCACCGGCGGACGGGUGCGUAACGCGUGGGAAUAUACCUAUUGGUUCGGAACAACUGAGGGAAACUUCAGCUAAUACCGAAUGUGCCCUUACGGGGAAGGAUUUAUCGCCAAUGGAUUAGCCCGCGUCCGAUUAGCUAGUUGGUGAGGUAACGGCUCACCAAGGCUCCGAUCGGUAGCUGUUCUGAGAGGAAGAUCAGCCACACUGGGACUGAGACACGGCCCAGACUCCUACGGGAGGCAGCAGUUGGGAAUCUUGGACAAUGGGGGAAACCCUGAUCCAGCCAUGCCGCGUGAGUGAUGAAGGCCUUCGGGUUGUAAAC